AUUGUCUUUGCUUUCAUUGUCAUAGGACCAUAGAUGGAAUGUACCAUCAGAAUUAGCACAACAUGAUUCCAAAUAAAGAAAUAAGGAACAAGAAACAAAGUAAUGUGAUGGAUCAAGGAACUUAAUAUAAAUCCUAAGGAAUUGAGUGAAAAGAAAUCAUGAACAUAAGAAUUAAUUUCAAAAGAAACGAAGAUGUUUGAAGAAAAUAAAUCCCACCAUUUGCAUUAUUUCCAUCCGUAUAGGACAGUUUUAAUAUCGGUUCCGAAAGGCAGAUUUUUCAAGAGAUGUUUCUGUGAGCAAGGAUAUUCUCGGGAGGUUGCCGGCCUUUUUCAAGAGGAGACACGAGCAUAAAUAUUUUGGUUCCUACUGGACCGAAUCCAUUAUGGCAUGGUAGACCAUAACGAUGUCUGCAAUGCCAGGCUCGCGCUCAGUAAAACUCAAUAAAAUUAAUAUUAUACAAAA